GGGAUUAGUGGCGAACGGGUGAGUAACACGUGGGUAAUCUGCCCUGCACUCUGGGAUAAGCCCGGGAAACUGGGUCUAAUACCGGAUAUGACCUUCGGUCGCAUGAUCGUUGGUGGAAAGCUUUUGCGGUGUGGGAUGGGCCCGCGGCCUAUCAGCUUGUUGGUGGGGUGAUGGCCUACCAAGGCGACGACGGGUAGCCGGCCUGAGAGGGUGACCGGCCACACUGGGACUGAGACACGGCCCAGACUCCUACGGGAGGCAGCAGUGGGGAAUAUUGCACAAUGGGCGCAAGCCUGAUGCAGCGACGCCGCGUGAGGGAUGACGGCCUUCGGGUUGUAAACCUCUUUCAGCAGGGAAGAAGCGCAAGUGACGGUACCUGCAGAAGAAGCACCGGCUAACUACGUGCCAGCAGCCGCGGUAAUACGUAGGGUGCAAGCGUUGUCCGGAAUUAUUGGGCGUAAAGAGCUCGUAGGCGGCUUGUCGCGUCGGUUGUGAAAGCCCGGGGCUUAACCCUGGGUCUGCAGUCGAUACGGGCAGGCUAGAGUUCGGUAGGGGAGACUGGAAUUCCUGGUGUAGCGGUGAAAUGCGCAGAUAUCAGGAGGAACACCGGUGGCGAAGGCGGGUCUCUGGGCCGAUACUGACGCUGAGGAGCGAAAGCGUGGGGAGCGAACAGGAUUA
rnacentral:rRNA from 1 species